rnacentral:piRNA from 1 species
GAGUGAAGUAAACUUUGAUCAGAAUGC